AGGACGAACGCUGGCGGCAUGCCUAACACAUGCAAGUCGAACGGAGUAAUGACUCGGUAUUACUAGUGGCGAACGGGUGAGUAACACGUGAAUAAUCUGCCCUGUACGAUGGGAUAACAGCUGGAAACGGCUGCUAAUACCGUAUAUGACCACGCCGAGGCAUCUCGGAGGGGUGAAAGCGCUUAAGCGGUACAGGAUGAGUUCGCGUCCAAUUAGCUAGUUGGUGAGGUAACGGCCCACCAAGGCGACGAUUGGUAGCCGACCUGAGAGGGUGAUCGGCCACACUGGAACUGAGACACGGUCCAGACUCCUACGGGAGGCAGCAGUGGGGAAUAUUGGGCAAUGGAGGAAACUCUUACCCAAGCAAUGCCGCGUGAGUGAUGAAGGUCUUCGGAUUGUAAAGCUCUUUGAUUGGGGACGAAUAAAUGACGGUACCCAAGGAACAAGCCCCGGCUAACUAUGUGCCAGCCGCCGC
rnacentral:rRNA from 1 species